rnacentral:rRNA from 1 species
UACGAAGGGGGCUAGCGUUGCUCGGAAUCACUGGGCGUAAAGCGCACGUAGGCGGAUUGCUAAGUCAGGGGUGAAAUCCUGGAGCUCAACUCCAGAACUGCCUUUGAUACUGGAGAUCUUGAGUCCGGGAGAGGUGAGUGGAACUCCGAGUGUAGAGGUGAAAUUCGUAGAUAUUCGGAAGAACACCAGUGGCGAAGGCGGCUCACUGGCCCGGUACUGACGCUGAGGUGCGAAAGCGUGGGGAGCAAACAGG